rnacentral:rRNA from 1 species
GAUCCUGGCUCAGGAUGAACGCUAGCUACAGGCUUAACACAUGCAAGUCGAGGGGCAGCAUGGUCUUAGCUUGCUAAGGCCGAUGGCGACCGGCGCACGGGUGAGUAACGCGUAUCCAACCUGCCUUACACUCUUGGACAGCCUUCUGAAAAGGGAGAUUAAAUACAAGAUGUUAUCAUGAGUAAGCAUUUUCGUCAUGAUUAAAGGUUUACCGGUGUAAGAUGGGGAGUGCGUUCC